rnacentral:rRNA from 1 species
GUGGGGGAUAUUGCGCAAUGGGCGAAAGCCUGACGCAGCGACGCCGCGUGGGUGAUGAAGGCCUUCGGGUCGUAAAGCCCUGUCGAGGGGGACGAAGGAGUUCCGACCUAAUACGUCGGGGCCCGGACGGUACCCCUAAAGGAAGCACCGGCUAACUCCGUGCCAGCAGCCGCGGUAAUACGGAGGGUGCGAGCGUUGUUCGGAAUCACUGGGCGUAAAGCGCGUGUAGGCGGUCCGCUAAGUCUGGUGUGAAAGCCCGGGGCUCACCCCCGGAAGUGCACUGGAAACUGGCGGACUCGAGUCCCGGAGAGGAGAGUGGAAUUCCUGGUGUAGCGGUGAAAUGCGUAGAUAUCAGGAGGAACACCGGUGGCGAAGGCGGCUCUCUGGACGGUGACUGACGCUGAGACGCGAAAGCGUGGGGAGCAAACAGGAUUAGAAACCCUAGUAGUCC